rnacentral:rRNA from 1 species
GACGAACGCUGGCGGCGUGCUUAACACAUGCAAGUCGAACGGGAUUUAGUAGACAGAAGCCUCGGCUAAAGAUUACUAAUGAGAGUGGCGAACGGGUGAGUAACGCGUGAGCAACCUGCCUAUGACAGUGGGAUAGCCUCGGGAAACCGGGAUUAAUACCGCUUAAAAUCGUAGAAACACAUGUUUUAACGGUCAAAGAUUUAUCGGUCAUAGAUGGGCUCGCGUCUGAUUAGCUAGUUGGUGAGAUAACAGCCCACCAAGGCGACGAUCAGUAGCCGGUCUGAGAGGAUGAACGGCCACAUUGGAACUGAGACACGGUCCAAACUCCUACGGGAGGCAGCAGUGGGGAAUAUUGCACAAUGGGGGAAACCCUGAUGCAGCGACGCCGCGUGAACGAAGAAGGUAUUCGUAUCGUAAAGUUCUGUCCUAUGGGAAGAUAAUGACAGUACCAUAGAAGAAAGCUCCGGCUAAAUACGUG